GAUGAACGCUGGCGGCGUGCCUAAUACAUGCAAGUCGAACGAAACUUCUUUAUCACCGAGUGCUUGCACUCACCGAUAAAGAGUUGAGUGGCGAACGGGUGAGUAACACGUGGGCAACCUGCCCAAAAGAGGGGGAUAACACUUGGAAACAGGUGCUAAUACCGCAUAACCAUAGUUACCGCAUGGUAACUAUGUAAAAGGUGGCUAUACUACCGCUUUUGGAUGGGCCCGCGGCGCAUUAGCUAGUUGGUAGGGUAAAGGCUUACCAAGGCAAUGAUGCGUAGCCGAAUUGAGAGGUUGAUCGGCCACAUUGGGACUGAGACACGGCCCAAACUCCUACGGGAGGCAGCAGUAGGGAAUCUUCCACAAUGGGCGAAAGCCUGAUGGAGCAACGCCGCGUGGGUGAAGAAGGUCUUCGGAUCGUAAAACCCUGUUGUUAGAGAAGAAAGUGCGUGAGAGUAACUGUUCGCGUUUCGACGGUAUCUAACCAGAAAGCCACUGCUAACUACGUG
rnacentral:rRNA from 1 species